UGGGGAAUCUUCCGCAAUGGGCGCAAGCCUGACGGAGCAACGCCGCGUGAGUGAAGAAGGUCUUCGGAUCGUAAAGCUCUGUUGAUGGGGACGAACGUGCCUAAUGCGAAUAGUAUUAGGUAAUGACGGUACCCAUCGAGGAAGCCACGGCUAACUACGUGCCAGCAGCCGCGGUAAUACGUAGGUGGCGAGCGUUGUCCGGAAUCAUUGGGCGUAAAGGGAGCGCAGGCGGGCAUGUAAGUCUUUCUUAAAAGUGCGGGGCUCAACCCCGUGAUGGGAAAGAAACUAUGUGUCUUGAGUACAGGAGAGGAAAGCGGAAUUCCCAGUGUAGCGGUGAAAUGCGUAGAUAUUGGGAGGAACACCAGUGGCGAAGGCGGCUUUCUGGACUGCAACUGACGCUGAGGCUCGAAAGCCAGGGGAGCGAACGGG
rnacentral:rRNA from 1 species